UGCGUAGGUGGUGGGGUAAGUCGGAUGUGAAAGCUCGGAGCUCAACUCCGAAAUGGCAUUGGAAACUACCCUGCUGGAGGUUUGGAGGGGGGGACGUGGAAUACUUGGUGUAGCAGUGAAAUGCGUAGAUAUCAAGUGGAACACCAGUGGCGAAGGCGAGUCCCUGGACAAAACCUGACACUGAGGCACGAAAGCUAGGGGAGCAAACA
rnacentral:rRNA from 1 species